UGUGUGUGUGUGUGGUGGUCUGUGAAGAGAGAGAGAGAGAGAGGCAGGCAGGCAGGCAGGCAGCUGCGUCUGCGUCGUGGCCGGCGCGGCGCUGCGCUGCGCGAAAACCAAAUCCUCACCUCCGUUCCCCAUUCGCACCAUCCACUCCACCCAUCCUCCUCGCGCCCCGAAAAAUGGCGCCAAGCCCUCCCGCGCGGGCCAGCUGCCCCAGCAGCUAUUUCCCCCUCCUCCUCUGACUUGACCGACCGACCGACCCGGAGCCGCGCGCCCCCCAAACCCUAACCCCCGGGGCCGGUCCCUGCCGCCCUGGGGCCCCGCCCCGGCCAUGGCGUCGCUGCCCAAGCCGCCGCCGCCGCCGCGCCCCAAGACGCGGGGCAACUACAACUGCGGCCGCUGCGGCCAGCCCAAGAAGGGCCACGUCUGCGUCGGCCCCGUCGCCCCCGGCCCCGCCCCGACCCCGUCGCCCUCCUCCUCGUCGGGGGCCGCCAGCGCCACCGCCAGCGCCAGCGCCGGAGGAGGGGAGCAGCAGCACAGGCUCCGCCGCGCCCUCUCCUUCGACGAGGCCGGAACCACGCCGUCGUCGCCGGAGAAGAAGCCCAAGGUGGAGGACGACGCGGACAUGGCCGAGGCGGAGCUGGACGACGAGGAGGAGGGCGCCACGGUGGACGUGGGCGCCCGCCGCCCCGUGCCCACGGAGGUCAUGGCGGAGGUCCUGCGCCGCCUCGGCCCCCGCGGGGUCUUGGCCGCCGCGGGCGUCAGCCGCGGCUGGCGGGACUGCGCGGGCCGCGUCUGGCGGGCCGCCGACGAGCUCCGCCUCCGCGUCCUCGCCGCCUCUGGCGUCGCCCUCCUCGCCGCGCUGCUCCCGCGCUGCACCGCGCUCUCCCGCCUGUACCUCCGAAUGGAAAGUGAUGUUGACGCCACUACCUUGGAUUGUAUUGCAUUUUCCUGCCCAAGUUUAAGAACUCUCGAGAUUACCAUGGCUGCUGAUGCAGUCAACAGGAUUACUGGGGAGGAUCUAAGUCGUUUUGUCUCGGAGAAGUCUACUCUCUCAGUUCUCAAAAUUGGUGGUUGCUCUAAUUUGGAUAUUCUUAAUCUGUGCUCUUCAAGCCUUUCAAUUCUUUGGCUGUCAGAUCUUUGUUCCCUUUCGAAAUCGGUUAUGAACUGUCCUAAUAUGAAUGAGCUCUCACUAUGCUUCACACAACAAAGUAGUGAUUGUACCGAUCUGGUUACUUUGAUGGAUGGCCUAGGUCGUACAUGCCUUAACUUGAAAAAAAUGCACAUAUCAUCAAGUCAAUUAUCCAAUGAAGCUGUAUGCGCUCUAGAGAAUGCUAAUCUCAGGGGACUGUGCAUGCUAUCCUUGAUUCUAGGUUCAAAAAUAACUGAUGCAGCUGUUGCAUCUAUUGUUCGGUCGUGUCCGAGCUUGGAGUUACUUGAUUUAAGUGGAUCUAGCAUUAGUGAUAAUGGUGUUGGGAUGAUCUGCAAAGCGUUCCCUCAUACUUUAUCAAGGCUGCUCCUUGCUCUUUGCCCAAAUGUGACCACACGUGGGAUCCAGCUAGCCACAGCACAGUUGCCAUGUCUCCAACUCAUGGACUGUGGAAUGAGCCUAUGCACUAACAUGAAGAAUGAAAAAGAGGGUCCAUAUUUUGGUGAACUCAAUGGAUGUAUUAGAAUUAUACCAAAACUAUCCACCUUAAAGAGGCAACCUAUUCACCAAAAGCUUAUUAUAAAGCAUGGGAAUUUGAAGAAACUCAGUCUGUGGGGCUGUUCUGCAAUAGAUGCUCUAUAUGUAAAUUGUCCAGAGUUAAAUGAUCUCAAUCUUAACUCUUGCACAAAUCUACAUCCAGAACGUCUGCUUCUUCAGUGCCCAAAUUUGAAGAAUGUCCAUGCAUCUGGAUGCCAAGAUAUGUUGAUUGGAGCAAUCAGAAAUCAGACACUGAUAACAUCCAAGCCACAAAACCUAAUCAAGCAACUUAUAUGAACUGGAGUCUAGGAUGAAGUGAGCAGAGGGUUGGAGCUGAAGGUUCUGAAUGAGUUCGCUGCAGCUGAACCAUCUCUUCCCUGCAAGCGGCUAGCAGAUGGCUUGAAACGGGUUCAACUCCCCCAGUUCCAAAAGCAGCAGCCAUUGGAGGACGACAAAUUGAUUCAAUUGAGCCAGACCCAGUGCAUCUUGGUUCAUAAUAACAUCACUAGAGCCAGUUAACCGAGCAUUGUACACACCAAUUAUGUGAAUCAUGCACCACAUAACAUUAUUAAUUCGUUGUAUACUUGCUGUAUUGCAUCAGAACCUGUAGUGCUUGUUGUAUAAGCUGCUAAUUGCUGCCUGGACAUGUGAAUCCCUCAUGGGUUUCUUGCAACUGUCCUAGGAAACAUUAUAGAGCAAUAAUUUGUAACCAUGACCCGUAUUAUCUAGGAAACAACAAUGAUCCUAGAUCAUUUGGUUUGGUGGCAUUAUUAUGCUAUGCUUUCAUGAGCUGCCUAUGGACAUUGGUUCUUCAACCUCUCCUUGUAGAUAAUGAGAAACUACAUAAUCCAUAUCCAUAUUCUGUUUAA